rnacentral:snRNA from 9 species
AUACUUACCUGGCGUAGGAAUACCGUGAUUAUGCAGUUCCUACAGUGUGUGGCUGCUCCAUUGCACUGCGGAGCGAUUGACCCUUACGAUUAUAUUAAUUUUUAUAAGUUUCACUUCUACCGUGUGUGACUUGCACACACACAUUUUUAUAUUUUAUUUAUUGCUUAGAUAGA